CCUACGGGCGGCAGCAGUGAGGAAUAUUGGUCAAUGGGCGUAAGCCUGAACCAGCCAAGUCGCGUGAGGGAUGAAGGUUCUAUGGAUCGUAAACCUCUUUUAUAAGGGAAUAAAGUGUGGGACGUGUCCUAUUUUGUAUGUACCUUAUGAAUAAGGAUCGGCUAACUCCGUGCCAGCAGCCGAGGUAAUACGGAGGAUCCGAUCUUUAUCCGGAUUUAUUGGGUUUAAAGGGUGCGUAGGCGGCCUUUUAAGUAAGCGGUGAAAGUAUGUGGCUCAACCAUAGAAUUGCCGUUGAAACUGGGGGGCUUGAGUAUGUUUGAGGCAGGCGGAAUGCGUGGUGUAGCGGUGAAAGGCUUAGAUAUCACGCAGAACCCCGAUUGCGAAGGCAGCCUGCCAAGCCAUGACUGACGCUGAUGCACGAAAGCGUGGGGAUCAAACAGGAUUAGAUACCCCUGUAGUC
rnacentral:rRNA from 1 species